CUCAGGAAGUGUGCAUCUCCUAAAAGACUCCAUCAGCUCAUCCACUUGGACAAAAGGCCCCUGCAAAAAACACGGGGUCACCAGGGGGAGCAGCAGCCAAUCCCAGUGGACUUUUCCCAUCAGUGUCCCUCCCCAUCACAGCUGACUGGAGAAAAUGGGGAAACGCUAUGACUGCGACUACGACAGAGGAUGGAACCAUCCAAGAGAACAGUCAAGAAGUCUGCAGCUGAGUUGGACUGGGUCCGAGUCAGACGUUUGCCCUCCGACAGGUUGACAGCCUGGCACAGUCCCAAAGAUUUUGGUGAGUACACCACUUACUGACAUGCCUCAGUGAAAUACGAAAAGUGUGGCGCGAACUGAAGAGCAGUAGUUAUGGAAAAAUAAUAGAUUUACAAAAGAGUUUCACCUCAGGGGACCUGUCCAAAACUGAGUCAACUACAUCAAACUACUGUAGACUGUUAUGUUGCUAAAUAGUUCACUAAUGACUAGAAGGAACUUGUUUUUAACCCUAAAAUUGUCUUCAGCUAAUUUGUUCAGAAAUCUUAUGUGGAAAAAAAAUCAUUGCUUCUGGGAAUACAAAAAAACAAACAAACCUGUAAACAACCUGUAUUUAAUUAUUUUCUUAGGUUGAAAGGCACUUCAACAGGCAUCAUAUUUACUGAUGCUCUAUCACUGGUAAACACUCAAUUUACUUUGUUCUAAGAAAACGUUAGUGUUAAAAAAUAUAUUUUGGUCCAUCAGUAAAUUAUUUAUCUAAUUAAUGUAUGUAUUAUCUUGUCUCUCGCUAUCUAUAGUCCUUCAUCACUUGGCUUCACUGUCACGCCUGCUCGGUUAGUAUUGUUUUUGUCAGCACUGAGGUUAUCAGUGAAACGUGUGCAGUCAGCACCACCUACUGGCUAAAAGUAGUAACUCAGCCGUUUGUGUGUUUUUUUGUAUAACUUACACGUCACUUAGGGAGUCUCGCGCAAAAAAAGAAAAACGGAAGAACAGAGCAGCAGCGACCUGUUCCAUAACAAGUCGCAAAGAGUUUAAUUUAAUGCUUGUGCAAAUGUCAGUGUGGAGAUCACAAGAAUAAUGUUGGACUGGAUUGUUCACUUGCAACCGGAAGAUUGGGUUUGAGGAUAAAACAAAAGAAAGUAAAGAAAUCCAAUAAUUAACCGACUGCAAAAAGGCAAAGCUUGUCGGUGGCACUGAGGACAAAGAAUCACUGGUUGUAUAUUUACCAGAGGAGGGGCAAAGGGCAUGUCUGAGGGGUAAAAAAAAAAAACCUUCGUGUAAUUACCAGAAAGAAAUGACACAGGAGGCAAUAAAAUGACACAACAAGUGAAUAAAAGGCUAAUGCACUCCAAUACCAUUUAAAUUGUUUUAAUACUGUUGCAGACCAAACAUGCAACAAAUUCACUUCACCCCAUUUAAAAUACGGCGCAGAGAAAACCUUUUUAUGUUUUUUGUUUUAUCUAAAAAUCUGGAAACAUAAAAAAGGAACUUCCUGGAUAAAUAAAAACGUUAGAGCUAAUUUCCCCUUUGUGUGUAUUUAAAGCACAAUUCUUGGUGAGUCUGACUGGGGCCUGGAAAUUCAAGUUUCAAACAUGCUUAAAAAUUAGAUUUGCUUUAGAUUUGUAAGAUGUUUUAAAAGUUAAUGGUUACCAACUCAGGAAGACAGGCCCAGUGAUUCGAACCAAGAAUAGUGACACCAAACUUCACUGAAGUAAGAGACAGUGUAUUUGUGUGAAUAUCACAGUGUUGA